rnacentral:rRNA from 1 species
UACGUAGGUCCCGAGCGCUGUCCGGAUUUAUUGGGCGUAAAGCGAGCGCAGGUGGUUUAUUAAGUCUGGUGUAAAAGGCAGUGGCUCAACCAUUGUAUGCAUUGGAAACUGGUAGACUUGAGUGCAGGAGGGGCAGGCGGAAUUCCUGGUGUAGCGGUGAAAUGCGUAGAUAUCAGGAGGAACACCGGUGGCGAAGGCGGCCUGCUGGACUGCAACUGACGUUGAGGCUCGAAAGCGUGGGGAGCAAACAGG